GUCCACGCCGUAAACGAUGUCGAUUUGGAGGCUGUGUCCUUGAGACGUGGCUUCCGGAGCUAACGCGUUAAAUCGACCGCCUGGGGAGUACGGCCGCAAGGUUAAAACUCAAAUGAAUUGACGGGGGCCCGCACAAGCGGUUGAGCAUGUGGUUUAAUUCGAUGCAACGCGAAGAACCUUACCUGGCCUUGACAUGUCUGGAAUCCUGCAGAGAUGCGGGAGUGCCUUCGGGAAUCAGAACACAGGUGCUGCAUGGCUGUCGU
rnacentral:rRNA from 1 species